UGGGAAUUAAAAAACGUAACAUUUUCUGGGAUGAAACUAGGGUCAACCAUAGAACUCAAAGAAAUUGGUCAAUUACGUCAUGGUUUUCUCAGAAUAAUCCUGUAGCCAGAGCUUUUGUGCUUGAAUGGGGUCCAAGCAGACACAUAUUGAUCAUAAGACAGCGAGGGAUGGCUAAUUGGACCAAUGGAGAAUUGAAGGAUAAUAUUGAUGAGGAUAGACCAUAUUUGACACUUAAGAAAUUUGAGAAUAUAGGCUAUGGAUAUUAUCCAUAUAAUUUCAUUUAUAAUUUUUUCAAUGUCACAAAUGAUGAUGACGAUUAUAUGACCUACUUCCUUGGAAUAGGCCCGGUUCUAACACCUGAUGAACUAAAAAUUUCUGGAUGGAAGCUAGACUAUGAAGGAUUUAUAUUCGAUCAUAACAGGAUGGUAAUUUUAGAUACAGGAUGGUAAUUUUAGAUGUGCGACCUCAUCAUAGUUAUAACACCCAAGAAGGCUAAGAAUUAUUGGAGUAGCCUAUGUACAGGAAUCACAAAGAGAUGUUUGCUUCGAGAUCUUGGCGUUUUAUUAUAGCAAGGGAUUCAUAUUCGUUUAUGAUAAUAGUUCAAGUCUUACUGAGAGUGACUACAGAGGUAACUACUGGAAUGACUGCUAAUGUGUGGGCUAUACAGCAGGUAGUGAAUCUGGAUGUGUAUAUUGGAAAGAUUUGACGUUUGUACUUCUUGAUGGUUUGGAAGUCA
rnacentral:lncRNA from 1 species